AGUGAACGCUGGCGGUAGGCCUAACACAUGCAAGUCGAACGGCAGCACAGUAAGAGCUUGCUCUUACGGGUGGCGAGUGGCGGACGGGUGAGGAAUACAUCGGAAUCUACUUUUUCGUGGGGGAUAACGUAGGGAAACUUACGCUAAUACCGCAUACGACCUACGGGUGAAAGCAGGGGAUCUUCGGACCUUGCGCGAUUGAAUGAGACGAUGCCGGAUUAGCUAGUUGGCGGGGUAAAGGCCCAACAAGGCGACGAUCCGUAGCUGAUCUGAGGGAAUGACAGCACCAACUGGAACUACCACACGGUCCACACUCCUACAGGUAGCCACAGUGGGGAAAAUUAGACAACGGGCGCAAGCCUGAUCCAGCCAUACCGCGUCAGUGAAGAAGGCCUUCGGGUUGUAAAGCCCUUUUGUUGGGAAAGAAAAGCAGCAGGUUAAUAUCACGCUGUUCUGACGGUACCCAACGAAUAAGCACCGGCUAACUUCGUG
rnacentral:rRNA from 1 species